GAUGACGCUGGCGGCGUGCUUAACACAUGCAAGUCGAACGAAGUCUUCGGACUUAGUGGCGGACGGGUGAGUAACGCGUGAGGAUCUGCCCUUAGGAGGGGGACAACAGUUGGAAACGACUGCUAAUACCCCAUAUGCCGGGAGGUGAAAAGGAGGAAUCUGCCUAAGGAGGAGCUCGCGUCUGAUUAGCUAGUUGGUGAGGUAAGGGCUUACCAAGGCGACGAUCAGUAGCUGGUCUGAGAGGAUGAUCAGCCACACUGGGACUGAGACACGGCCCAGACUCCUACGGGAGGCAGCAGUGGGGAAUUUUCCGCAAUGGGCGCAAGCCUGACGGAGCAACGCCGCGUGCGGGAGGACGGCCUGUGGGUUGUAAACCGCUUUUAUCAGGGAAGAAGAUCUGACGGUACCUGAUGAAUCAGCAUCGGCUAACUCCGUGCCAGCAGCCGCGGUAAG
rnacentral:rRNA from 1 species